CGGGGUGUGGCACAGUUGGCUAGCGUAUCCCGACUUGAAGUCGGGAUGGUCGGAAGUUCGAGUCUUCUCACCACUA
rnacentral:tRNA from 1 species